rnacentral:rRNA from 1 species
UGCCCNCUGAUAUAUUAAAUUGAAGGGCUGCAGUAUAUUGACUGUACAAAGGUAGCAUAAUCAUUAGUCAUUUAAUUGAUGACUUGUAUGAAGGAUUGGAUGAAAUAUAAACUGUCUUAAAUUUAAUUUGUAGAAUUUAAUUUUUUAGUUAAAAAGCUAAAAUAUAUUAAAAAGACGAGAAGACCCUAUAGAGUUUGAUUUGUAGUUUAAGUUUAAUUUUAUUGUUUAUUAAUUUAAAUUAAAAUUUAUUUGCUAAUUUUGUUGGGGUGAUGAAAAAAUUUAAUUAACUUUUUUUUUUGUUAAACAUAGAUAAGUGAUUAGUUGAUCCAAUUAAUAUUGAUUAAAAGAAAAAAUUACCUUAGGGAUAACAGCGUAAUUUUUUUUUUUAGUUCUUAUAAAAAAAAGAGUUUGCGACCUCGAUGUUGGAUUAAGAUAAAAUUUAAAUGUAGAAGUUUAAAGU